CCAAGCUAAAAGUUUUAGUAUUCGUUCUUUAAUUUCGGGGAUUUCCCUAUCUGCAAAGACGUGCAUUAAAUGAGCAAUAAAUAACCGACAAACUGCAGUUGGCUGUCGUGUGAUUGCAACAGCAGUGUGAUAUAUGUAUGUACGUAUUUGAGGCUUAAAACUUGGUUUGUUUAACUAUUGCAACUGCCCUGAUCUCAUUUCUGUAAUUGGAAAACUUAAAUUGAGUCAAAGAGGGGAAAAAUAAUAACAUUUACUCUGUAAGAGUUUUACACCCGGCGAGUUUACUUUGUUUAAUCAGAAAUAAAAACCUUUUCAGUCUUAAAUUCCUCAGAAUACCUUUGAAUUCCGUUAAAAAGCUUUUAUAACUGUUCAUGGUUAAUCACCUAGAAUUAAUGUUCAAUACACAGACUUUCUUUAAGGGCCACUAUAAAAAGUAAUCAAGAUAAUGUGUUCUUUGUUUAGCUUUAAUAUCACAUAAGAAAUGCUAAGCAAACCUAGAGGUUCCCUAGCCUUAAAAGGCUGAUAUCUAUAACGGAGACCGACAAAGUUGCAUAAUAAACAGACAAGUUGACGAAAUGGGGAGCCCAUGGAGCCAAUUUCAAACGAAAUCAUAAUGCCAAGGCACGCGAGCCGGCUCAACGAACGGGGUCGUUUUGAAUUGAGCUGGGAAAUUAAAAAUAAUAAGUUAAUUGCCUGAUUAGAAUAAUUUUCCUCUACAUGUCAGCCUCAAUGCGUGUGUGUUUGUUGGGGCUGAGUGUCAUAAACGAUAUCUAAAAGGCAAAAGCUCUCGGAGAAUUGUUAUGGGGUUUCACUGGCUUGGUGUGGUUCUGACUAUCACAUAAAUUAGUCUUGUGACAAACGAUGACAGUGCGGAUUGGACUGUUGCUCUGGUCGAACAAUGUCACCCACUACAAUACACACCCUACUUGCAACAUCGAUUAAACUUUGACAAAGUUGCGAAAAAUAUUGACAAACAAGCGACCUUGACGGUGACAGUCAGUGACGUCACUCUGGCACUGGCUGACACAAAGAAAUAGAAAAUAGAAAACCUUUCAAUUUCAUGGGCGGGCGGCGUACCAAAGUCGAAAAACAGACCAACUGACCCGCAAGCCAAUGUCAAUGAUGCACCAAAUCUUGCCAGAAAUUCCUCGUCUACAUUUGCCUUUGUAUAUAUCGGAAUAAAUAUAUGUACGUAUUUACAAAGGUA